GUGUGCAAUAUGAAUAUGUUGAAUAUAAAAAAAUAAUAUUUAGAAGCCUUCAGGUCUACAUGUUCUUCCUAUUUUCUCCACUGAGAUGGAAGAAGAUAUGUACCAUAAGCAAAGAAUAUAGAAAGAACUAUGAUGGCUAUUUAUUGGCAGUGGAAGAGGAAGAGGAAGUCAUGUCGAUCUUCUCGAUCUAGUUUGAUAGUAUGCACCUAGGGUUCAAAUUUAUAUUUGUCUGAGAUGUUUCUUUUGGGGAGCAAUUAUGGUUGGCUUAAGGGACUUUAUCUCCUUAAAUUGCCUUUAGCUGCUAUUUAUUGCAUCAUUUUCAUAAGAGUUUCUAAAAUC
rnacentral:lncRNA from 1 species